rnacentral:lncRNA from 10 species
ACUAUUUAAGGUAAUACGCUCCUGAAUGUGCUAAAAUCAAAUACCGCAGCUGGACCAGAUUAACUCAGGACACCACCAGUGGACUAGAAUUGCAAUGACCCCACACGAUCUUACCUGCUCCUCAGACCACAGCCAAGGAAGAGAUUUCUGACAAACAAGCAAAAACACAACACUGUCCACACAACUGUAAAUAUGCAAGGAAGAGUUUCUUCUUGCCUGAAAACUGCCUUUGGACUUGGACUAGAAUUUCACCACUGGGGCUCUUGGAUCUCGAGUCUGUAGAGGGCAGAUCGUGGGAUUUUUCAGCCUCCAAAAUCAUGUGAGCCAAUUCCUCAUAAUAAAUCUCCUUCUAUAUCU